AGUGAACGCUGGCGGCAGGCCUAACACAUGCAAGUCGAACGGCAGCACAAGAGAGCUUGCUCUCUGGGUGGCGAGUGGCGGACGGGUGAGGAAUGCAUCGGAAUCUGCCCAUUUGUGGGGGAUAACCUCGGGAAACCGGGACUAAUACCGCAUACGACCUACGGGUGAAAGCAGGGGAUCUUCGGACCUUGCGCAGAUGGAUGAGCCGAUGCCGGAUUAGCUAGUUAGAGGGGUAAAGGCCCACCAAGGCGACGAUCCGUAGCUGGUCUGAGAGGAUGAUCAGCCACACUGGGACUGAGACACGGCCCAGACUCCUACGGGAGGCAGCAGUGGGGAAUAUUGGACAAUGGGCGCAAGCCUGAUCCAGCCAUGCCGCGUGUGUGAAGAAGGCCUUCGGGUUGUAAAGCACUUUUGUUGGGAAAGAAAAGCAGCCGGUUAAUACCCGGUUGUCAUGACGGUACCCAAAGAAUAAGCACCGGCUAACUUCGUG
rnacentral:rRNA from 1 species